rnacentral:rRNA from 1 species
ACGGGUGAGUAACACGUGGGAACGUGCCCUCCGGUCUGGGAUGACCCUGGGAAACUAGGGCUAAUACCGGAUACGUGCUUUGGCAGAAAGGUUUACUGCCGGAGGAUCGGCCCGCGUCUGAUUAGCUAGUUGGUGGGGUAACGGCCUACCAAGGCGACGAUCAGUAGCUGGUCUGAGAGGAUGAUCAGCCACACUGGGACUGAGACACGGCCCAGACUCCUACGGGAGGCAGCAGUGGGGAAUAUUGGACAAUGGGCGCAAGCCUGAUCCAGCCAUGCCGCGUGAGUGAUGACGGCCUUAGGGUUGUAAAGCUCUUUUCUCCGGGACGAUAAUGACGGUACCGGAGGAAUAAGCCCCGGCUAACUUCGUGCCAGCAGCCGCGGUAAUACGAAGGGGGCUAGCGUUGCUCGGAAUCACUGGGCGUAAAGGGCGCGUAGGCGGCGUUUUAAGUCGGGGGUGAAAGCCUGUGGCUCAACCACAGAAUGGCCUUCGAUACUGGGACGCUUGAGUCUGGUAGAGGUUGGUGGAACUGCGAGU